AUCCAGCCGACGAGUCCCAAGUAGGACGAAACGCGUGUCCUGGAU
rnacentral:hammerhead_ribozyme from 1 species